GGCAGGAUCAUUUUUUUGCUCUUUGCUCUUUUUUAAAUCAAACUUAAAUCAUUGAAUCAAAAUCAAAAUCAUUUUGUUUUUUUUUUUUAAAGCACAAACCACCACGGCGGAUCUCUUGGCUCAUGGAACGACGACGACCGCCACACUCGGCGACACGUCUUGGGACCCGUCCGGUUUCAUUUCAUUUGGAGGUGCAAUGACUCGUUGAAUACGUGGGGUAGUUUUUUUUGAAAGCUGUGUCGGUCUGGGUGUGGGUUUUUUAAACACAAAAACUUGGUUUUUGUUGAGAGUAAAUUUAAACACCAAAAACACGAACCACCGCCGAUUGGCAAGAGGACCCGCCGAACUUAAGCCUAUUAGUGAGCGGAGGAAGAGAAAACAAGGGUGAAUCCCCGAGUAACGGCGAGUGAAGCGGGAGGGCGUGGUGUGGCAAGUUUUUGUUUGAAAACGGUUUCCAUUUUUUGUAUGUAGACAAAGAACCCGGACAGGUUCGCGAGACAGGGUGAUGGCCCCGUUUUUUACUUGCGCCAACUAACAGUCCCAGGCCUUGGUUGUGGCUUGGAAAGGACAGGUGGUAGACAACACCUACACGUAAGCAUAUCCCCAUGAGACCGAUAGCGAACAAGUACCGUGAGGGAAGGAUGAAAACUUUGCUGUCAAAGCAGUUCAAAGCAGGUGAACCCGUGGUGGGGGAGCAGGAUUUGUCAUACCUACCCGUCUUGAAACACAGACCAAGGAGUGGGCGAACAGUGAUUUCUGUUAAUACGACGCGACACUGUUCACCCGACCCGAAAGAUGGUGAACUAUGCCUGGAUAGAGUCAAGCCCGGGUAAACUCGGGUGGAGGCUCGUAGAGGUUCUGACGCGCAAAUCGAUCUCGCAAGCUGGGUAUAGGGGCGAAAGACCAAUCGAACCAUCUGGUAGCUGGUUCCCUC
rnacentral:misc_RNA from 1 species